rnacentral:rRNA from 1 species
ACCUACGGGAGGCAGCAGUGAGGAAUCUUCCGCAAUGGACGAAAGCCUGACUGAGCAACGCCGCGUGAGCGAAGAAGGUCUUCGGAUCGUAAAGCUCUGUUGUUAGGGAAGAACAAGUAUCGGAGGAAAUGCCGGUACCUUGACGGUACCUGACGAGAAAGCCACGGCUAACUACGUGCCAGCAGCCGCGGUAAUACGUAGGUGGCAAGCGUUGUCCGGAAUUAUUGGGCGUAAAGCGCGCGCAGGCGGUCCUUUAAGUCUGAUGUGAAAUCUUGCGGCUCAACCGCAAGCGGUCAUUGGAAACUGGGGGACUUGAGUGCAGAAGAGGAAAGCGGAAUUCCACGUGUAGCGGUGAAAUGCGUAGAGAUGUGGAGGAACACCAGUGGCGAAGGCGACUUUCUGGACUUAAACUGACGCUGAGGUACGAAAGCGUGGGGAGCAAACAGGAUUAGAUACCCUGGUAU